UUUAAAUCUCAGUUAAUGAAAAAAUCAUGUUAUAUGAAGAUAUAAUAAGUUAUUUUUUUACUUUCAGUUGGGUAUUUCAAAAAUAUUCUUGCAGUAUAUCCAGUAUGGGCUGCAUGUAUUGUGAUGACAGUUUUUAGUGGAGCAGGAAUUGCUUUAUAUAGCUACAAACAAAAUAAACUGCAUCCUGACUUUCAUGAGAUGUGCUAUGAAGCUUACAAAGUACGUCGCAUAGAGGAUGUAGAUGACCCAACCAGAGAGUGUUACAAUUAGACAAUGUAUUUAGUUAUUCUUUUAUUACCGUUAUAUGAUUGUGUGAUUUGAUGGAUACAGAAAAUUUGAGGGAAAAAAAACAAUACAUGAAUUAAAUGUGAACAGUUUUUGAUUUGUUGAUCUUCUUUGGCUACUGUUUUUAAACUGGCAGUAAUCAUUACAUGUGACAAUUGCCCAGUGAUAUUAAAGUUAUAUCUGGUAGAAAUAUUAAAUUUUGAAGAAUUUUGAUAUUUAAAAGGAUUUCUUUUUAUGGACUUUGUUAAAGAAAAAUACAACAACAACGUUUAAUUUAAUAAAAAGUUAAUAAAGAGUU